rnacentral:lncRNA from 1 species
CAUCAACACCUUUACCUCUUCCCGCCUGAAAAUAAAAUAUGAAAUAUAACAAGUAAAUCGCAAUCUACCUUGAAUCUUCUGGAGAGGAAAGAAGAAACCAUGUCUAGACAAGGUGCUGGAAAGACCCAGGGAAGACACAGGUGAGCUAAGAAAGCAGUAGAAACUGGGUAAUUAAAAGUCAACAUAAUGGCUGGAAACUUGUUCAAGGAGAUAUAAAAAGAAAGAAAAACCAAAAGAGAGACUGUAUGGAUGAACUUUGUCUAUUUACAAUUUUGUCUAAGGCCAAAUCUGCAGUCUGGUCCCACCGCAUGUUAUCUAAGUUGUUCAUAUACCAAUACUAAGAGCUACUGAAAUUCUUCCAAAAAAUCAAAAUCAUUUCCCCUUUGAUUUGCUAGUUUUCCCUCUUGGUAAAUAAAGAUUCAUUUUUUAGUAAUAACUGACCUGCCCUAAGGGUUCACCACUUUCUUCUGAUCUCAAAUCUUGUGCUAGGUCUUUAGGUUACAAUUCAUGAAACUAAAAAAUAAACAAAAAAAUUCUCUUA